UGUCGUCAGCUCGUGUUGUGAAAUGUUGGGUUAAGUCCCGCAACGAGCGCAACCCUUAUCCUUUGUUGCCAGCGGUCCGGCCGGGAACUCAAAGGAGACUGCCAGUGAUAAACUGGAGGAAGGUGGGGAUGACGUCAAGUCAUCAUGGCCCUUACGACCAGGGCUACACACGUGCUACAAUGGCGCAUACAAAGAGAAGCGACCUCGCGAGAGCAAGCGGACCUCAUAAAGUGCGUCGUAGUCCGGAUUGGAGUCUGCAACUCGACUCCAUGAAGUCGGAAUCGCUAGUAAUCGUGGAUCAGAAUGCCACGGUGAAUACGUUCCCGGGCCUUGUACACACCGCCCGUCACACCAUGGGAGUGAGUUGCAA
rnacentral:rRNA from 2 species